UACGGGGGGGGCAAGCGUUGCUCGGAAUCAUUGGGCGUAAAGGGCGCGUAGGCGGCCUGCUAAGUUGAUUGUGAAAUCCCACGGCUCAACCGUGGAACUGCGACCAAUACUGGCGGGCUUGAGUGUGGGAGAGGAAAGCGGAAUUCCCAGUGUAGCGGUGAAAUGCGUAGAUAUUGGGAGGAACACCAGUGGCGAAGGCGGCUUUCUGGACCACAACUGACGCUGAGGCGCGAAAGCUAGGGGAGCAAAC
rnacentral:rRNA from 1 species